rnacentral:ncRNA from 1 species
AUUUCAAAGACAGCUAGGAUGUUGGCUCAGAAGCAGCCACACAUUCAAAGAGUGCGUAAUAGCUCACUAGUCGAGAGGU